rnacentral:lncRNA from 1 species
CUGCUUUAAAUCAUAUGCCAUAAGAACAAAUGCUUCAACUUUUGUAAGCGCUUGGAUUGUUUUAGUUGAUAUAGGGAGGUUGGAUGAGUUGUGGCCAGCCUUCGCCCAAGCAAUGAGUUCUUCUCCAGAAAAGUCACCACCUUCCAGAUGGUUGUUCAGGUUACCAGAAUUGCUUGAUAAUUCAGUUACCCUCCUGGAAGUGUAGGUCCAUAACUUGCCUUGUAGCACGAAGAGCAUUUGAUCAAUUGGGUUUUCCUCCUGGAUAAUGUAAGAGCGCUCUGUGAAGACAGCUGGCUUCACAACAUCACACAGUUUCUCCAACGAUGAACCAUCCAAGUUUCCAAACUCUUCUACCUAUACAAACAUACAUCCAAUAUUGUUACUGUAAUCUAAAAGGCUCAAUGCUGAUAAUGAAAUUCAGCUUCUGAAUGCAGAAAAUUGAAAAUAAAAGUUGAUCUAGAACUAUCUCAGCUAAAAUGAGAUUCAUUCCCCAACGCUAAAAACAUAUCAGGGUUGAGUUUAUGUUGAGGUGAUGUGGACUUUAGCUAUUGCGCUUUCAAAACCAUGCAAAAGUUCAAAUAGUUACAAACAUUUACCCUUGAGUUUAUUCGAUCGAGUUAAAGAAGAGGAAAAUAUUUUCAUUAGUUUUUCGGAUUGUUGUUUAUAUGCUGCUAGCCUCUCCUUUGUCAGUUCCACAAAUUCAGAAGUAGGAGGCACAAAUAUAGUUGUAAAGAUCUCUUACUCACUUUUUUUAGCAGGUCUAAGCAGAGUUUUUGUUUUAUGUUCUUCCUGAGGUCCUCUGGAAGAUUGUUCACCAGAUAUUCUACAUCAAUACCUGUGGUUUCUUGCACUUUGGAUAACUGAUGUUCCUUGAUCUCCAUUUGGAGUUUCUCAGGGAGCUUUUCAACGGGCCGCCACUUGUAUAUUUCUUGUACCUUCUGUCUUAUCUCCUCUGCUUUUGACAUUUCAGACUGCAAAUUGCGCAAGAAUCAUAGUUCAUAGAAAAUUAAAAUUUAUUGUGCUUCAUCUCAAUCAACCAUAAAGAACCCAUUUUAAGAGACAAGAAUCAGACGAGAAAAUAAAAUAAAAUAAAAUAAAAUAAAGAUACACCAACCUGGACCUUUCCAAUCAAGAAGAAAAACAGCACUACCCCAGUGAUGGUAAUUGAAAUCACAAAGAUGUUUUCCAAGACAUUGGUACUGAAUGGGAGACCUUGACCAAAAGAACUGCAAAGUCAAACCCACAAAUUUAUUAGAACUAAUGUUUUUGAGUUUAAUUGCUAAAAAAACAUAAAAAUACGUAUGCGUAAUUAUAUGCACCAAAAACAUAGAAAGGCAUAUGCACAAAGAUUGUUACAAGGAGAAUGAUGUAUAUCCACAACUUAACCUGAGAUUUUGCAGGCUCCAUCGAAUACAAGGGAAGAACCUCAGAAAUAAAUUGUUUUGCUCAAUAACACUAGAAUUAAUAGCAUCAUAGAAUAUCCCAAAAUGGUAGGUAGUUGCAAUUUGAGUCUUUGUAGAGCAAAAAUCAUUAGAAAAUGUGUAGUUUGUUAAACUGUUGUCACAGUGUAAGGGAAGGAGACGGCAUUUGGCAGAAUCUGUGCAGGCUUUCCUCCAACAUUCGGUCUUUCUUUGUAGAGCAAAAAAGUACCAUAAUGCUCCAAACCCCUAAACAACCAUCAAUUAGAUCAUCAGGAAUUAUAAAUUACCCAAAAAGAGUAAAGAGAAAUAGAAUAUAUUGGAGACUUGGGAGGCAAGUAAACUUACAUUAGCAGCAUGUAGGUAAAAGAGAUUGAACGUGAGCCUGGCCCAUUUAGUUUGUUUAUAUGAAUUCUUCCUUUCUUUAAUCAAUGCAUACAAUCGGAUAACCUUUAGCAAAUGUUGGACAAUAAACAGGUUCAUCACAGAGAAAAAUUUCUUGCCACUCAUCACGUUACUAUAAACUAGAAGCACCAACACCUGAACAGUUUGUACACCAUAAAGAUAGAAUUAUCAAUUAUGAAAUAUGAUUCCAUAUGAAAAGAAAAAAAUUACAACCUGUGUGCUUGCUAGAAAUCCAACAUAAAUUGGUUUGGGCGUCCAUAGGUGUGCGCGCGUGCCCUUGCUUGGCUAAUUGGAACAAAUAAGUAAAAAGUACGACAGAACAAACAUUUACCUGUGGGAGUGGAAGAAUGAUGGCGAGAUCAAAUAGGAAGACGGGCAACAGAGAUAUGCUAUAAUUUCGAUGCCAAUUCUCCCAUAGUUGAAAAGCAUUAUUUAUCAAAAAAUAUAUAUCACAUCCUGUGCGUUCAACAAUACCCACCCUCAAAACCCAUAUGUCAAAUUGGAAGCACUUUUUGUCAUCGUUGAUCACGGGAAGGUACAAGAAAACAGGAUCAAAUACCAUGGAAUACACAUAAAUCAGCAAAAAAUUAACUUCCAGGAAACGUAUCGGCAGAUCACGAAUCUGCUGAAGGCAUGUUUUUCCUCCAUUACCCAAGCUUUCGUUCAGAGUGCGAUAAACAGAUUUUGCUGCUUCUCUCGCGCUCCAACUGAUGCAGUCCAUUUCAACACUAGCAACUCGUCUCGGCGUUCCUUCCUCUAAAUUCAAGUCCCGAGACCUGAAAAAAUAAAGUCAACUUCAUCGUCAUCACCAUAUACGAUAAUUGUAAUAAUACAUAGCUUGCACUUCAGCUCAGUAGGGUUCUAUACGUAUGUCAUUAAAUUAAUAGACAACUCGCUUAAGGCUUACAUAAUCAACGAAGGGGAAGGGAAAUUUAAGUAAAUGAAGCAAAGCUUGAUUUCAGUUUCCUUCAAUUAAAUACAGGUGGAUCCUUCACAAAUCAUCACUUCAGUGGCUGAGUCUUCGGAGUUCAGAGCAUGCUUAUCUUAUGUGCUAAUAAGUAUCUAGACACUGUGGUUCCUCAAGACUUUGACUUCAUGCACAAUUAAUCAAACAACCAAAAAAAAAAAAUUUCCAAUAAAUAUGUAAUUUCUGUAGCACCUUUUGAUUGAGUUGGGGCCGCAGGCAACUAAUAGUUACGACUUGAGGUUAGAACUUAUCCAUAUGCAUAGUCUCAAUCUACGGUUCAUUAACCAAACUUUUGGCCCCGAGAGGCUGCAAGUCUUAUCAUGUCCCUCGUGUUUUUUGCUCACUAGUAGAAUUGGAUCUUUGUGCUUAUUGCUCAAGAUAAAUGUAAGCCUUAACCUGAGAGCUUGCAGGCUCCAUUGAAAACAAGGCAAGUACCUCCGAAAAAAAUAGUUUUGAUCCAAAACACCCGAUUGAAUAGCAUCACGGAAUAUCCCAAAAUCAUAGAUAGUUGCAUUUUGGGUCUUUGUAGAGCAAAAAUCACUAAAAAAUGUGUAGUUUGUUAAACUGUCAUCGCAGUGCAAAGGAAGGAAAUCACAUCUGGUAAAAUCUGUGCAGGCUUUCUUCCAACAUUCAGCCUUUCUUUGUACAGCGAAAAAGUACCAUAAUGAUCCAAACACCUAAAGAACCGUCAAGUAGAUCACCAGGAACUAUAAAUUACCCAAAAAACAGUAAAGAGAAAUAGAACAUUUUGGAGACUUAAGAGGCAAGUAAACUUACGUUAGCAGCCUGUAGGUAACCGAAAUUGAACGUCAGAUUGGCCCAUUUAUUAAGGUUAUAUGAAUUCUUCCAUUCUGUAAUCAAUUUAGCCAAUCGGAUAACCUUUAACCCAUGUUGUACAAGAAACAGGUUCAUCAGAGAGAAAAAUUCCUGGCCACUAAUUCUUUGACUAUAAGCUAGAAGCACCAACACCUGAAUAGUUUGUAAAUAUUAAAAAAAAAAGAAAAUUAAUCGUACAAAAUACAACCUAUACAUGCUUGUGUCAAGGAAGCUCAUUAUGCAUGGAAGGAUGCAGCACACGUGUGAGAUGAAUACAGUCAGCUGAAUCAAUUGAAGAGUGAAGUGCCAGCUCAGCUGAAGUAAGUUAGACACGUUAAGAUCAUAUUCAGUUAGCUUCUUUAUUUUCUGUUAAGCUGUAAACAACUGAGUAUAAAUACAAGCAUCUUGUAAUCAUUUUGUUAUUAAGUAAAAUGAAAUAAAGCAUUUGAUUCAGAAGUCUUUUACAAAUUUUCUUAGCACUUUAAAUACAUUUUCUCAGUAACCAAACAGUCUAUUCAUUCAAGCUUUUAAGCUUUCAAACAUGGUAUCAGAGCCAUACAGAGCUAGUUCUAGUAAUCAACAGUCAAGCUUUCGUAAUCAAACAACAAACAACACAAAUCAAUCUACUCAAAUCAACUUCUCCUUUACUAAUCCUAUCAAGCUAGAUCGAUCAAAUUACUUACUCUGGCGCUCUCAAGUUUUAGCUUCAAUAAGAGGCAAUCGUUUGGAAGAUUUCGUCACAGGAGCCAAAUCAGUACCUGAUAAGUGUCUUCUGUUAACUGAAGCAGAUGGAUCUACACAACAAAUUGAAAAUCCAGAAUAUCAGAUCUGGAGAUCACAGGAUCAGACACUUCUUGGCUGGCUACUGUCGUCAUUAAGUGAAGGUAUCUUAAGUCUUGUAAUCAAUUGUGAGAGUUCAUUUGAUAUAUGGAAAACUUUGGAAAAGAAAUUUGGAGUUCAAUCUGAAGCUCGAGUUCUUCAGCUCAGAUAUGAACUAAACAUUCUUAAAAAGGAAGCUCUUAGUGUUGAAGAUUAUUGUAUUAAAAUAAAAGCAAUAGCUGAUAAGCUAGCCAAUGCUGGUAGUUCAAUUACAGAGAAGGAUCUUAUGUUAACUAUUCUUAAUGGAUUAGGACCAGGAGUUCGUGAUAUUGCUACAUUUAUAAAUGGUUCACGAAUGGAAUUUGAUGAUGCUUAUGCACUGUUACUCACUCAUGAGACUAGAUUAGAGCAGGAGCAAGGUGACAGAAGUAUGUUUAAUGCAAACUAUGCAUAUACGAAUGCAUAUUAUCCUAGAGCUUAUUUUGCACAACGUAGAGGAAGUUUUAAACGAGGAGGUUAUUCUGGUGGUAGAACUCCUUUCUUUGGCAGAGCAAAUAUGAAUUACUCUCCAAGAAUAUUUAAUGGAGGUGUUAGAAAUGGAUAUGGCAGAGGAUUUUUUCCUAGAAAUAACUCAGCUGAUUUCAAUCAUUUUUCAGCUCCUAGGAAUCCAGUACCUAAGAACUCAUCCUUUCUAGCUAGAAAUGGUGCUAAUAUGAGUGGAUCACAAGGAAGCUUUAAUAAUGCUGGGGAGCUGGUAUGUCAGAUUUGCUUUAAGAAUGGUCAUACUGCUGAUGUUUGUUGGCACAUAUUUAUUGAAGACUUUGUACCUGUUCCAAGAGGUUUUGGCAGGGAAAAAACACCAAGAGCAGCAUAUUUCUCAAACUUUGAUGGCUCUACUUCUAAUCCAGAUUUUGGCUAUGAAAAUAAUAAUAUGUUUCCAGGUUAUGAUUCUAUAUCUGGCAAUAGUUACUAUUCUGGAAUGGAUGGAUAUACUUCUGGAGCAGCUGGAACAGCUUUCAUGGCUAAUUUUGAAGGGACUGCUGAUGAUGGAUGGUAUCUGGAUAGUGGGGCAACUCACCAUUUAACCAACAAUAUGGAGAAUUUGCAUAUCAAUGAAGAGUUUAAAGGUACUGAUCAGCUUAUCAUUCGAAAUGGUCAAGGUUUGUCUAUUACUCAUGUUGGACAUGCAUUUCUGGUAUUAAGAGCUUCUAAAUCUUUAUCUACACAUGCUAGAAUAACACUUAAAGAUGUGUUACUUGCUCCUUCAAUUGCCAAAAAUCUAUUAAGUAUUUCCAAACUCACAUCUGAUAAUCCUGUAUCUGUUGAAUUUUGUGGAAAUGUUUGUUUUGUGAAGGACAUAAAGGGUCAAGUUCUUCUGCAGGGUAUUGCUGAAAAAGGCCUUUACAAGCUGCUGCUGAAAUCUAAUUCUCUUUCUUCAUCACCUACAUCUUAUCUUUGUAAAUCCCAACCAAAUAAACCAGUUUCUAUGUUAUCUGCUUUCAAACACUGUGAUAAUAGUACUCGAGCUUAAGAGGAUAGAUCCAAGAGUACCUAGUAUAAUCAUCCACAAAACUAAUAUAGUAUUUGUAUCCAUCUCUAGACACAGUGGGUGAAGGCCCCCAAAGAUCAGUAUGAAUCAAUUCUAAUACCCCUUUUGUUUUUGUUUCAGUUAUUGAGAAAUGUUGCUUAUGGACUUUGCCUAGCUGACAUGCUUCACAUAAAGUAUUUGCAGAAGAUAACAUGUCUUUUGGAGAGACUUUAAACUGUUUACAUGAUUUGAGCAAAUGCACCAAUGUCAUUGAGCUUGGAUGACCAAACUUUCUAUGUAACAAAGUUAUCAUAUCAGGUUUGACAUUACACUUAUUUAAAACAAACUGAUAGCAAGCUCGAGUACUAUUAUCACAGUGUUUGAAAGCAGAUAACAUAGAAACUGUUAAAUCACAAGCAUUUGAAGUUUUUAAAUUGUUCAAAACUCAAGUUGAGAAUCAGUUUGAUACCAAAAUUAAGAGGCUACAAUCUGACCUUGGGGGAGAGUUUAGAGCAUUUAUUGAUUUUCUGAAUCAAAAUGGAAUAAUGUUUAGACACUCAUGUCCUUACACUCAUCACCAGAAUGGUCUUGUUGAGAGGAAACACAUGCAUAUAGUUGAGCUAGGCUUAACCCUCAUGGCUCAAGCAAACCUUCCUUUUCAAUUCUGGUGGGAAGCUGUUCAUACAGCAGUGUAUCAUAUUAAUAGAUUGCCUACCCCUGUUCUGAAAUUCUUAUCUCCUUAAGAGAAACUUUUCAAACACAAACCAGAUUACACAUUCCUGAAGUGUUUUGGUUGUCUUUGCUACCCAUACUUGAGAGAUUUUAACAAACAUAAGUUUGAUUUUCACACCUCUAAAUGCAUUUUUAUUGGAUACAAUCCCUCUUAUAAAGGAUACAAGUGCUUAGCAAGUUCUGGCAAAGUCUAUGUUCUUAGACAUGUCAUUUUUGAUGAAAACACAUUCCCUUAUCCAAUAAACACUACAUCUCACUCAUCAGAAAACCCCAUAUCUUCUGAAACCUCAGUGUCUAAUUUCUCUCAACAACAUAUCUAUCAUCUUUCUACAAUGGCCUUACCCAACAGCAGCUUUGAAGGUCUUCAAUCAGCAGGCUCAGCAAGAAGUGAACAAAUGCCCUCUGUUCCCACACAUACAGAUAUUCUGAAUCAACAAGAACAUCCAUCACACACAUCUUUAGAGUUAUCAUCCUCAACCUCACUAUCACCAAACACAUUACCAGUACAAUCAUCCAUUCUACAAUCAGAGGAAACUUCUAUUCCACAGAACAUAGACCAAAUUCAAACCAGAAAUCAUUCCCAACCAUCUUCUCAUCCAAUGAUUACCAGAUCAAAAUCUGGAAUCUUCAAACCAAAGGUCUAUACAGUCACCUUAGCCAACAAAGAACCUAGUACAGUUCAAGAAGCUCUUAGUAGUCAGAAUUGGCAUCAAGCCAUGGUAGAUGAGUAUGCAGCUUUGAUAAAGAAUGAGACUUGGUCACUAGUACCAUUUUCAAAUGCAUACAAAGUAGUUGACAACAAAUGGGUGUUUAGACUUAAGCAAAAUACUGAUGGAAGCAUAGCCAAACACAAGGCCAGGUUGGUUGCCAAAGGUUUUCAGCAAACUGAAGGUGUGGAUUACUUUGAGACCUUUAGCCCAGUUGUAAAAGCUUCAACGGUAAGGAUUGUUCUGAGUUUAGCUGUGAUGCAUAAAUGGAAAAUAAGGCAAGUGGAUGUGAAUAAUGCCUUCUUGAAUGGAAACUUGACAGAGGAUGUCUAUAUGUAUUAGCCUGAAGGUUUUAUUGAUCAACAAAAACCCAAUCAUAUAUGUAAGCUUAAUCAAGCCUCGUAUGACUUGAAGCAAGCUCCUAGAGCUUGGUAUGACAAGCUUAAGAAUUGUCUUAUUGCUAAUUGGAAAUUUCAGAAUUCAAAGGCUGAUACCUCUCUCUUCUUCAAAGAAGUGCAGGGUUCAAUGAUACUUAUCUUAAUCUAUGUUGAUGACAUUCUAAUAACAAGACCUGAUAAUGGUGAGCUGGAAAAAUUCAUCUAAGAAUUCAGUAAGACUUUUGCCUUAAAAGACUUGGGAAUUCUGUCAUAUUAACAUAGACAAAAUUCAAACUAGAAAUCAUUCCCAACCAUCUUCUCAUCCAAUGAUUACCAGAUCAAAAUCUGGAAUCUUCAAACCAAAGGUCUAUACAGUCACCUUAGCCAACAAAGAACCUAGUACAGUUCAAGAAGCUCUUAGUAGUCAGAAUUGGCAUCAAGCCAUGGUAGAUGAGUAUGNNNNNNNNNNNNNNNNNNNNNNNNNNNNNNNNNNNNNNNNNNNNNNNNNNNNNNNNNNNNNNNNNNNNNNNNNNNNNNNNNNNNNNNNNNNNNNNNNNNNNNNNNNNNNNNNNNNNNNNNNNNNNNNNNNNNNNNNNNNNNNNNNNNNNNNNNNNNNNNNNNNNNNNNNNNNNNNNNNNNNNNNNNNNNNNNNNNNNNNNNNNNNNNNNNNNNNNNNNNNNNNNNNNNNNNNNNNNNNNNNNNNNNNNNNNNNNNNNNNNNNNNNNNNNNNNNNNNNNNNNNNNNNNNNNNNNNNNNNNNNNNNNNNNNNNNNNNNNNNNNNNNNNNNNNNNNNNNNNNNNNNNNNNNNNNNNNNNNNNNNNNNNNNNNNNNNNNNNNNNNNNNNNNNNNNNNNNNNNNNNNNNNNNNNNNNNNNNNNNNNNNNNNNNNNNNNNNNNNNNNNNNNNNNNNNNNNNNNNNNNNNNNNNNNNNNNNNNNNNNNNNNNNNNNNNNNNNNNNNNNNNNNNNNNNNNNNNNNNNNNNNNNNNNNNNNNNNNNNNNNNNNNNNNNNNNNNNNNNNNNNNNNNNNNNNNNNNNNNNNNNNNNNNNNNNNNNNNNNNNNNNNNNNNNNNNNNNNNNNNNNNNNNNNNNNNNNNNNNNNNNNNNNNNNNNNNNNNNNNNNNNNNNNNNNNNNNNNNNNNNNNNNNNNNNNNNNNNNNNNNNNNNNNNNNNNNNNNNNNNNNNNNNNNNNNNNNNNNNNNNNNNNNNNNNNNNNNNNNNNNNNNGAAAAACAACACUACCCCAGUGAUGGUAAUUGAAAUUACAAAGAUGUUUUCCAAGACAUUGGUACUUAACGGGAGACCUUGACCAAAACAACUGCAAAAGUCAAACCCACAAAUGUGUUAGAACCAAUGUUUUGAGCUUAAUUGAUAAAAAACACAAACAUACGUAUGCUUUAAUAUAUGCACAAAAAACAAAGAAAGGCGUACACAAAAAGAUUGUUAAGAGAAGAAUGAUGUAUAUUCACAACUUAACCUGAGAGUUUGCAGGCUCCAUUGAAAACAAGGCAAGUACCUCCGAAAAAAAUUGUUUUGAUCCAAAACACCAGAUUGAAUAGCAUCACGGAAUAUCCCAAAAUCAUAGAUAGUUGCAUUUUGAGUCUUUGUAGAGCAAAAAUCACUAGAAAAUGUGUAGUUUGUUAAACUGUCAUCACAGUGUAAAGGAAGGAGGCCACAUCUGGUAAAAUCUGUGCAGGCUUUCUUCCAACAUUCAGCCUUUCUUUGUACGGCGAAAAAGUACCAUAAUGAUCCAAACACCUAAAGAACCAUCAAGUAGAUCCCGGGAACUAUAAAUUACCCAAAAAAACAGUAAAGAGAAAUAGAACAUUUUGGAGACUUAAGAGGCAAGUAAACUUACGUUAGCAGCCUGUAGGUAACCGAAAUUGAACGUCAGAUUGGCCCAUUUAUUAAGGUUAUAUGAAUUCUUCCAUUCUGUAAUCAAUUUAGCCAAUCGGAUAACCUUUAACCCAUGUUGUACAAGAAACAGGUUCAUCAGAGAGAAAAAUUCCUGGCCACUAAUUCUUUGACUAUAAGCUAGAAGCACCAACACCUGAAUAGUUUGUAGAUAUUAAAAAAAAUAUAUAUAUUAACCGUACAAAAUACAACCUAUACAUGCUUGCUAGGAAUCCAACAUAAAUUACUUUGGGCGGUCAGAGGUGUGCGUGUGUGCCCCUCCUUCGCAAGUUGGAACAAAUAAAUUAAAAGUAGACAGAACAAACAUUGACCUGUGGGAGUGGAAGAAUGAUGGAGAGAUCAAGUAGGAAGACGGGCAACAGAGAUUUGCUAUAAUUUCGAUGUAGACUCUCCCGUAUUUCUGAAGUUCUAUUUGUCAAAUACCAUAUACCAAAUGCUGAACGUUCAGCAAUAACCACACUCAUCACCCAUCUGUCAAAUUGGAAGCACUUUUUCUCAUCGUUGGUCACAGGAAUGUACAAGAAAACAGGAUCCAAUACCAUUGAAUACAAACAACACAGCCAGAAAGCCUCAUGCAGCGGAAUAUAGAGAAAUGGAACUCCAAAAACAGAUAUUUCUCUUACUUCACCCUGCGGAAUACGCAGAAAUGGACAAACAUUUAUUUCUCUUACUCCUCUCAUGAUCCUACUGGUCCUGUUCAUUUCAACGCCAGAAACCAGUCUCGACGUUCCUUCCUCUAAAUUCAUUCAAGUCCUGAGACCUUGGAAAAAAAAAAAUCAUCUUCAUCAUGGUCACCGUAUACAAUAAUUGUAAUAAUAUAUAGCCUGAUCAUAAGUUCAGUAGGACUCUAUAAGUAUAUCAUCAAAUUAAUAAACAAGUCACUUACGAAGGAAAAUUAAAGUAAAUGAAGCAAAGCUUAAAUUCAGUUUCCUUCAAUUAAAUACAGGUGGAUCCUUCACGAAUCAGCACUUCAGUGGCUCAGUCUUCGGUGGAUGCUUAUGUUAUGUGUUAAUAAAUAUCAGAGGCACGACCCAAAGACUUCGAUUUUUCAAGUCAACCAGGAACACAUAAUUAUUGUUUGGGGUCCGCUUAUAAUAUUUUCAGGCUAGCUCUGUAGCUCAAGCAUGAAAAACGGGGAAAGUAAAGUGCAAGAAAAUUCCAGAUUCUUUUUUCAAUUGUUCUUUAUACUGUGUAGCUAAUGUACAAAAGUGAAAAUGAAUCUUUGCUUGCAUUUUUUUAAAUUAGCGGCAUAAAAAGAAUGGAGUGAAAAGUACAGAGACCUUGAAUGAUCAUUGAAAGCCAUUAAAGAAUGUAGACAAAAGUUAAUUGCAUUAGAAAGUACUAAUAAUGAAUUAUUUAGACAAAAUAUAGUACUGCAAAAUCAAUGUCAGAUUUUAUUACUUAUCAGUUAUCACCAGAAAACUCAAAACACUUCAACAAAAGCAAGCACUAGAAAAAAUAUUUAACCAUUCCCCAGUAGGACAAUUAAUAAAAAUUCAAAAAAUUUCUUCCCUCAUUGGUGAUAGUAUAGACAUUGUAAAAAAAAUUUUAUUUCAGUAGCCAAUCAAAUAUUCUAUGGCAUAUUAAAUUUCUUAGGAUUGUUAAAUUACAAUAAGAAAUUUAUACCAAAAUCUUAGUACAUUAAUGAGACCAUUAUAUAAUAAAUUAAGUAAAAAUGGACAAAAGUAUUUUAAAUUUUAUAGUGAAGAUAUUAAAUUAAUACAAAAACUUAAAGAAAUAGGAAUUUUUUUAAUCUACAUCAUCAUAUGUUAAUUCCUCAUUAUUACAUAAUUCUUCAAAUAAUUCUUCAUCUAAACAUUUUUUAGGAUUAUUAAAUAUUAAUUCUAUAAUCUUAUCUCUAAUAUUAUGUAGAGUUUUCUCUUUAUCUGUAUUUAAAUUUUUUACUAUAGGCAUAUUUAUUUCUAUAUCUUCUAAUUAUGGAUUACCUAUUUUUCUAUAAUUAUUAAAUCUCUGUGUAACUUAAUUAUGUAAUUCUUAGUGCUUUCUAUCUUGCUAUCUACUGCAUUUUCUUCCUCCGAUAGUGAGUCAAAAAAUGCAAUAUCUACUUCUUUUUCCAUUGCUAGUGAUUUCUUUUCGUAAGGCAAAAUAUGCAUCUCAAAUUUAGGUUGUACAAAUGUUGAUUUUUUAAAGAAAUUUAUCUCAUUAGUAGUUGUUAAUAUACUACUGUUAUCUUCUAAUAUAAAAUUUAAUCCUAAAAUAAAAUUAUAUCCUACUUUUUUACUACAGAUAAAUGUUUGUGGAACUCUAUUAACGGUUUAUCUAAACUCAUUCAUUUACUAUUAAUUUUAUUGAAUUUAAUUGUAUUUGUAAAUCUCUUUGUGUAUUUUUAAUAUUUUUAUUUCAACUUUUAAAACUUUUACAAGACUUUUGAUUUAUAAUUCUACUAGUUUAGGUGCUUUUAUGUCUAAUAAUUUUAUUAAUUCUAUUAUUUCUUUUUUAUUACCGAACCUUGUAAUUUGACUAUUAAAAUCAGCUAAUGACUCUUUAAUAUAGUCUAAAUUCUUUCUUUGUGUAUUUUAUGUUACUUGCUUCAAAAAAUUGUCCUAACCGUAAUACUAGUUCUUUAAGCUUUUCUAGUUUAACUUCUAAGUGCUGUCCAAGAUUAAUUAUUAAGUCUAUUGUUGACCAUUACUCGUAUAUGGAAUAUGUUUAUAUUGAUUUUCUAAAUGCUCUAUAUUAUGAUUAAGUUUAAUUUUAUUUUCCUAUGACUACUAAUUUGUAAAUCCAAAUAUGCUAGUUUUUGAAAAUUCAUAAACUAAUUCUUUAACUAUUCUAGUUUAUUUCUAAUUUUUAAAAUUACAUUUUCAUAUGAUCUAAUAAAUUUAGUUGCCUAUUGUAAUUAUGUUUUACUAUAGAUAAGUACGUAAGAGUGUAAUAUCUAACACUUACUUUUUUUAAUUAUUAUUAUAGGGUCUAAUGGAGAUGUGCAAUCUACUAGAAAUUUUGUAUUUUCUAAUCUUUCUUCUAUUAAAUUAUUUAAUAUAGAGUGUUCUGCACUAAUUUCUACUUUUUUCUAGCUCUACAAUUUUUAGAGCAAUUUCUAAUUUUUCGGUUCAAGGAUUAAUCACAAAUACCCACAGCCAAAUUUACUUUUGAAAGACUUGGAUUUUGCAGUCUUACGUGUGACAUUUGUGCUGUGUUAUCUAUGGCCCCAUCUAAUCCUAUCUUACUAAAUUUUUGUACCGCGCUACCUAAAAUUUUUCCACUACGGGCAAUUUGAUAAGAGUCUUUGUCUUCUUUAGUCAGCCACGAAAAAAAAAAAUGUUAGUUCAGAUCUAACUAUUCAAUCAAGAGCUAGCUCAGGACAAAAAGAAGUGUGCAAUAACGGGACGAUACUGUCGACAGACAAUAGACAAAUUUUUCUUUGAAUGGUUUACUUUGGACUAAAUGAUCGGUGAUCCAACACCACUGACCGUUUUUCAAAGGGACCCAUGUUGUGGAUGAAAAUUGAUAAAACUUGAACCCUAUUUUUUUUUUCCCCUCUCCGUUGUGUGAAUCAACCUUGGUUAAUUAAACUCACCGAAAUUGGAGGGGAAAAAAUCUUGAAAAUAUAUAAUAAUCUGCCCCAUUUCUACUUAAAACUUUCUCUUUUAUGCAUCAUACUGGCCUUAAAUUCUUGCAGCGGAAAGCAAAACGCAGGGACCAUAAAGCCAUCAAUAGUUCUCUAAAUUUCCAAAUAUAUGUAACAACAAUAGUCAGUGUACAAACUACUUUCACGAGAUUUAUUCAAUAGCUUAGAAACGAGAUGUAAUUUGUAUUUAAAAUAAAAAUCAAUGACAAUAAGCUUAUUAUAACAAGCAUAGGGUGUGACCAGCCUAUUUUUCUUUAGCAAUAAAAUGAGGUUCCACAAGCUGCCUAGACAUAGGGUAUGUUUGGGGGAGAGUAAGAAUUCAAUGAUGUUUGGAAACAGAAAAAACUUAAGGGAAAAUAAGAGAAUUCUAAAACUCUUUCUUCGUUUUUAUUAUCUCAAGUCAUUAAUUGACUGAAUCUGUACAUACUUCUGUUUAUAUACAUCAGUAGUAAUUAGAACUGAUUCUCAACUAAUUGCAAGUGCUAAUCAGCUUUGAACACAUUGAGCUUGGAACGAAAAUAACUAAACUUAGGAAAUGACAGGGGCUUAGUAAGAACAUCUGCAACUUGCUCUUUAGUGGGAAUGUACCUCACUUCCAAUUCUUUGUUAAGAACCUUGUCUCUAAUAUAAUGAAUGUCUAGCUCUAUGUGUUUUGAUUUUGAGUGAAAAACUAGAUUUCUAGGUAGAUCUCCAGCACUCUGGUUAUCACACCAUAGAACAGAAGUUGGUAAUUUUGUGAUGUUGAGCUCAGAGAAUAAUGAUUGCAGCCAAGAAAGUUUAGAGCUGGCUGCUGACAAGGCUCUGUAUUCACUCUCAGUACUAGAUUUUGCUACAAUGGCUUGCUUUUUUGAAGACCAGGAAACCAAAUUAUUACCAAGGAAAAUGCAAUAUGCUCCAAUGGAUUUUUUGGCAUCAAUAUCACAUGCCCAAUCAGCAUCUGAAUAUCCUGUUAGUCCUAUAGUUUCCAGAGUUCCCUCCUGCUAAAUAUAGAGACCAUAUGUGACAGUAGCUUGAAGGUAUCUGAGCACUUUUUUACAAGCUAACCAGUGUUGAAGUGUAGGAGCACUGAGGUACUGACUAAGCUUAUGCACUAAAUAUGCAAUGUCUGGUGUGGUUAAGAUUAAGUAUUGCAAACCUCCAACAAUGCUUCUAUAGAGGGUUGGAUUCUCAAAUUCAGCACCCAAUAAGCCUUUUGUUGACCUUUCCAACUUGUAGCCUGUGCUGAAAGGAGUGUCAGUUCCUUUGUAGUCUUGCAUUGAGGCUUUGGACAGCAGAUCCUUGAUGUACUUGGUCUGAGGGAAGUGCAUUCCAUGAUCUGUAUAGCUGACUUCUACACCAAGGAAAUAUGUUACUAGACCCAAGUCUUUUAAUGCAAAAACUUUGCUGAGCUUAGCAAUAAAAGAUUCCAGCAAGUCUGAAUCUGGUCCAGUGAUCAGAAUGUCAUCCACAUAUAUUAAGACAAGAAUUAUGCCUUUGACAUCAUGCCUAAUAAACAGAGAAGUAUCAGCCUUAGAAUUAGUGAAUUUCCAACUUGUAAGACAUCCCUUAAACUUAUCAUACCAGGCUCUUGGAGCUUGUUUUAAGUCAUAAAGAGCUUUGUUUAGUUUACAGAUGUAUCCUCCCUCUGAAACAAAACCCUCUGGCUGUUGCAUGUACACAUCCUCAAUGAGAUCCCCAUUAAGAAAUGCGUUAUUGGCAUCAAUUUGUCUAACAUUCUAGCCUUGCAUGACUGCCAAGCUAAGAAUAACCCUGACAGUAGAAGAUUUCACUACAGGACUAAAAGUUUCUGAGUAAUCUAUCCCAGCAGUUUGGUGAAACCCUUUUGCAACUAAGCGAGCUUUGUACUUAGAGACUGAACCAUCAGUAUUGUAUUUAGUUCUAAAAACCCACUUGCAGCCUACUAACUUGUAUUCGGGAUUCAUUGGUACUAAGCUCCAGGUUUUGUUUCUAAUGAGAGCAUUAUAUUCAUCUUGCAUUGCUGCCUUCCACUUAGUAUCAGAUAAGACUUCUCCAGCAUUGGAAGGUUCUAGGCUGUUAUGAUCUGUCAAGAAGGCCUUUGGUUUGAAUAUGCCAGCUUUAGCUCUAGUAAUCAUAGAAUGAGUGUUUAUGGUUGUAGCUGAGGGAAGUGAUCUGGAAGGUGAAUUUUGUAGUAUUGCAGGUGAAGUUGUAGUGUUUGGUAUAAUGUUUAUGGUAGCAGCUGGUGAUGUUGUGUGGACAAUGGGUGAAGAUAUAGUAUUAUUUGGUGAAAUCAGUGAGGUGGAAAUUACUUGUGAUGUAGGAAUAGGAAGAGAGAUGAUGUUGUGAGUAGAACUGGAGGCAUGAGAAUCUGUAUCUGCAGGAGCAGCUGCUAAAGGAUUCUGAUUGCUAUUAGGAACUGAGAUGUGAUAUACUUGUAAGGAAUUAUAAAGGAAGUCAGAAGAUUUAGAUGGCAUAGACUGUAAGAAGGUAGAAUCAGUAGAAUAUGGAAAGGAAGUUUCAUAAAAAAAAACAUGACUAGCUAUGUAAAUUCUUCCUGAUGGAUGAAGACACUUGUAGCCUUUGUGUAAAGGGCUGUAUCCUAAGAAAACACAUUUAGAAGUAUGGAAGUGAAACUUGUGAUGAUUGCAAUCUCUUAAGAAAGGAAAACAAGCACAACCAAAAGUUUUGAGAAAUGGAUAGUCUGGUUUUUGAUGGAAUAGAUAUUCAUAAGGGGUUUUCAAGGAAAGAACAGGAGUUGGAAGUUUGUUUAUAAUGUGGGUAGCUGUAUGAAAAGAAUCCCACCAAAAUUUUAUAGGUAACUUGGCUUGUGCAAGCAAGGUUAAACCCAACUCAGUGAUGUGUCUAUGUUUUCUUUCCACAAGUCCAUUUUGAUUGUGAGUAUAUGGAUAGGAGUGUCUAAACUGAAUCCCCUCUGUUUAAAGAAAAUGAACAAGUGAUCUAUACUCACCACCCCAAUCAGAUUGAAGACACUUGAUAGGUUUAUCUAAUUGUUUCUCUACUUGAGCUUUGAAAACUUUGAACACUGGAAAUGCUUCAACUUUGGUUUUUAAAGGAAAGAUCCAGGUGAAUCUUGUGUAAUCAUCUACAAAGCUGAUAUAAUAUUUAUAUCCUUGUAUAGAAAGUGUAAGAGCAGGCCCCCAUAGAUCUGUAUGUAAGAUUUCAAGUGCAUUUUUUGUUUUGGUUUCAGUUACUGGAAAAUGAAGUUUGUGCAUUUUUCCCAACUUACAAGCAUCACAAGAAUCAAAACCUUUAUUACCAUCGAUGGUUUUAAAAGAUGGACAAGAAUUGAUAACAUGAUUCAACACUCUAGCAUUGGGAUGACCUAAUCUUUGGUGUAAAACCAUAGUACUCAACAUACAAUCUGAGUUUUGACUACAUUGUGCUUCAGUUUGUAACUGAGAAGCAAUUUUAUUUUGACAUUUAGAAUCAACAACAGAAAACAUGGAAAUAGGUUGAGUUGAGACAUCUGACUGAACAUGAGCAAAAAGACCUUGGUUUGACAGAUAAGGAGAGGUUUUAUUUGAGGAGACAAAUAGCAAUCUGUACAAUCCUUUUUCAGCUUUGCCCUGCAGCAUGAUCAAAUUCCUCACCUUGUCCUUAACAAAACAGAAAUCAUUAGUAAAUUCUACCACAACAUCAUUAUCUCUGGUUAGUUUUGAUAUACAUAUCAGGUUUUUGGUUAUUUUAGGCACAAGAAGAAUAUUGUUUAGCUUAAGAUCAACAUGAUUUAUAGAGCUUUUCAUUCUCAAAACAGCAGAACCUGUAUGUGUUAUGAAUAAACCAACACCAUUACCAAUGACAAGUUUAGAAGUACCUGUAAAAGGUUCAGCCAUAUUCAUAUUGCUCAUAUCAUUAGUGAGGUGGUGUGUAGCACCACUGUCAAGAUACUAAUUAGUAUCAGCUGGAGCAUCCAUGUUGGCUAAAUAGGCAGCCUUUGGUCCUCUAUUUGGAGGUGAUCUGUAAGAGCCUAAAGCAAUGAAUUCUUCCAGCUUCCAACAAAUGUUUGCAGUAUGUCCAGGCUUGAGGCAGAUUUAGCAGGUAGGUUUUGAAGUAUUCCACUGAGGUUUAGAGUUCAUAGGUGGUUUCCCAUUGUUAAAAUUGUUAACUCCAGUGUUAUUGUUCUAGUUUCCUCCUCCUCCUCCUAUUUGAUUACCAGAUUGAUAACCUUUGAACUGACUAUUAAAACCAGUACCACCACUAGUAGAUUCAGUGCCAAAGUUUCCUUUGUAAUAACCACCAUUUCCAAACCCAGAGUUAUAGCCAUAACCACCAAAACCUCUUCCACCUGAUAUGUUUCCCUUCUUAACUCCUCUAUUUUGAGCAUAAUUUGCCUCAAAAAUUGUUUUUCAUAUCCACACCAGCAAGCAUUUGUGAUUGUUGUUCAAUCCUAGCCUCUUGAGUUAACAACAUAGCAUAGGCUUCAUUUACAUUCAUUUUACCAACUCCUACUUGACCAGUAAUGUAAGUAGCUACUGAAUUAUAAUCUGGUCCUAGGCUAGAUAAUACAUGUAAAAUCAGAUUAUCACUACUUAAAGCACUUCCUGCUGCAGCCAUAUUAUCAGCUAUGUUUUUCAUCUUAAUAAAAUAGUCUGUGAUUUUCAUAUCAUCUUUUUUUGUUGAAUUCAUCAUAUCUUUCCUUGUUGAAUUCAUCAUGUAUCUUAGAUGUAAAAGUCUGGAUUUAGACUGCGAGCCAAAUUGUACCUUAAUAGUUUUCCACACUUCAAGUGAUGUUUCCAGGUUGAACACUAGACUAAUGAUUCCUUCACUCAUUGAAGAGAGCAGCCAUCCAAGCAUCACUUGAUCUUGAGAUCUCCAUGUUGUGAAUUCUGGAUUCUUUACAGAUCUGAGUUUAUCAUCAACUCUCUGAGCUAUAUGAGAUGGAGGUGGAGUGACUGCAUUAUCAAUAAACUUUUCGAGCCUGUUUCCACGAAUUGAGGCUAGGACUUGAGAUCGCCAUAUGAGAUAAUUGGACUGAUCAAGCUUGACUGGUGUGUUAAAGGUAAAGGAAACAGUUGUUGAAUUUGUAGCAUGAUUAAGAGUUUAAAUUGAGGAAGAAGAAGCAAGAUUAACAGACGCCAUUAUUGGCUGGCUCUGAUACCAAGUAAGAAUUCAAUGAUGUUUGGAAACAGAAAAAACUUAAGGGAAAAUAAGAGAAUUCUAAAACUCUUUCUUCGUUUUUAUUAUCUCAAGUCAUUAAUUGACUGAAUCUGUACAUACUUCUGUUUAUAUACAUCAGUAGUAAUUAGAACUGAUUCUCAACUAAUUGCAAGUGCUAAUCAGCUGGUUAUAACUAAUUAAAACUGAAUUACAAGCACAAGAAAUACUAUAACAAACCUACUAAUCUUCACGUGUGCAAGAGACUAUAUAACCACCAGGCUCCAGCUGGCAAGCCAUGUCAUCAACCUGUAACAGCAAGCUGCAGGUGUUGCAAUCCUCUGCUCCACUGACUACUCUGCUUCCUUAACAGGGAGCAGCUGCCUAUAUUCUAGGAGGAUAUUGCAGCGCAGCUGCCUCAAAUGCACACGUAAUUGUGGGGCGCUCUGUCUAGACGUUUCUGCAUUCCUUGUAGAAUGAGAGAAAUUAAGUUCCUUUCACAGCGCCCAUGAGCAAUUUUAUGAAUCAAGUUGCUUGGAUGAAUAGAGCUGCCCGACUAGGCUUAAUGAGUGACACAUUUUUCAAGUCAUCAGCCAUAGACAAAAGGCUUCAACUUUAUGCUUGAAUAGCUCUGGUUGAGAUGGCAGGCUGAAGCAUUGUUGGUUUGCCCUUACACCUGAGUAUCGAUCUGUCCAUGGCUACCAGAAAAUGAGAAAAUUCUUUUUACAAUGUCCUGGAAUAAUUUUAAAAAUCGAGCUGCUUUAAUGAAUGGAGCUACUCGUUUCUGCUCAAAGAGUAAUAAAUCAUCGGCUGUGAGAACAAAGGCUUCAACUUUUGUAAGUGCUUGAAUGGUUCCUGUUGAGGUAGGGAGGUCAGAUGAAAAAUGGUCAAUUGUAGUGCAAGCAUCCUGAACCCAAGCGACAAGUUCUUCUCCACAAAUGUCGCCAUCUUUAAGAUAAUUAUUAGUGCCUGGGGAGGCUUUUGUUACAUUUCCGGAGUUGUAGAUCCGUAGCUUACCUUGCACCACCAAAAGUGCCUUAUCAAUUGGGUCUCCUUCAUGGACAAUGUAAGCGUGCCCCAUGUAGGUAACUGGCUGAACAAAAUCACACAGAUCCUCCAGCAAUGCUCUCUUCCACUUUCCAAAUUUUCCCAUCUUGAUUACAUACAAGAACAACAAUGAGAAUACAGACGUACCAUCUCAAGCAAUUAUAAUGUGGUAUUGAAUAGAACUCACAAUGAUGUACAAAGCAGAGCAGUUCUAUUGGAUAAUAACAGCAAUAAUAAAAUUAAAACCCACUUUCUUGAGGAGUUCUAAGCAGAGUUCAUAUUUUAUCUCCCUUCCAAGGUCCUUUGGAAGACGAUUGAUCAAACUUUCUAUAUCAAAACCAAUGGUUUCUUGCAAUUGGUAUAGCAGGUACUGAAUCGGCUGUUGAAGUUUUAGAGAAAGCUUUCUAUAGGGCAGCCACUGCCCUAACUCUGUCCCCUUCUGUGUCAUCCCCACUGGUCUUACAAGUUCAGACUGACUGUGAAUAAGUCUGUUUCAAAAAGACUAGAGUCCAUAGAAAUUAAAAGUCACUGCGCUUCAUCUUAAGCAGCAGAUAAAACUAUCUUGGAGAUAAAAAAAAAAAAAUGAUGAACCAGGAUUUGUCCAACAAAAAUAACAAGUAGCCACAUGCUAGAUACACUAAUGCAAACUGCAAAGAUGUUUUCCCAUGGAUUGGCACUUGUUUGGAGACCUUGACCAAAAGAACUGCAAAAAAAUUGAAUUCGAAGGUAUCUGUCGGGCACUAAUCUCAGAAGUUAUAAGUUCAAUAUGCUCAUACAAGGAGUUUACACGGGUAAAGCACUUUGUAUAUAACAGAUGACCACUUAUUUUAAUAGCUUACUUUUAAACUAGAUGAAAGUCAUAUGAUUAUGGGUGAAGUUAGAUUUUCUUUUAUUACAGUAGUUUUGCCAAUGGCCAUCUCAGCAAUGGGUCGAUUAAUGAAAUUUUCAACGAGGGCACGGACUCUCUCAUCCUCAAAAACCAUUAUAAUAUGGAAUAAAUAUUAAAAUCAGGGACGCAUUAUAUGCAAAUUAGUGUGAUUUUAAAAUGGAACAAAAUGAAUCGUCGGUUGAAACAUGAAAACUUUGCUCCAUACUGCAAUCCGAACUUGAAAUUAGCAUAAAUAUAUAUAUAUAUAAUCAACACUGUAGAGGAGUUUUGAUAGCUUUAUAUAUACACAUCAACCGUAUCAGGCAUCGGUUUCUAAUAUCUCAAACUCAAAAUACUCUCGUCCAAAUUUAUUCUUGAGAUAGGUCCUUAAUUAAGAUCAUGAACAAGGCCUAAAAUACUAACGUUGCUGCACCAGAUCUGAAUGCCCAAAAUAUUAUUGUAGAUGGCGAUGGUGGCGUUCAUUGUGCGGACGCUUGUGCAUUCUUUCUAGUUUGUCGGAAUACUUGUAUGCAGCGAGCUGCAUUGUUUUGCUUAAUGAUCAAUAUUCAAAAGCAACUGCUUCAAAUCAUCUGCCAUUAGAACAAAUGCUUCAACAUUUGUAAGAGCUUGAAUUGUUUUAGUUGAUAGAGGGAGGUUGGAUGAGUCGCGGUCAGCCUUCGCCCAAGCAAUGAGUUCUUCUCCAGCAGAGUCACCAUCUUCCAGAUGGUUGUUCAGGUUACCAGAAUUGCUUGAGGAUCCAGCUAUGCUCCUGGAAGUGUAGGUCCAUAACUUGCCUUGCAGCACGAAGAGCAUUUGAUCAAUUGGGUUUCCCUCCUGGAGAAUGUAAGAGCGCGCUGUGAAGACAACUGGCUUCACAACAUCACACAGUUUCUUCAACGAUGAAACAUCCUGCUUUCCAAACUCUUCUGCCUAAACAAACAUACAUCCAAUAUCAUUACUAUAAUCUAGAAGGCUCGAUGCUGAUAAUGAAAUUCAGCUUCUGAAUGAAGAGAAUAAAAAUUGAUCUAGAACUAUCUCAGCUAAAAUGAGAUUCAUUCCCCAUCACUAAACACAUGUCAGGCUUGAGUUUCCAUUGAGGUGAUGUGAACCUUAGCUAUUGCGCUUUCAAAACCAUGCAGAAGUUCAAAUAGUUACAAACAUUUACCCUUGAGUUUAUUCGAUUGAGUUAAAGAAUAGGAAAAUAUUUUCAUUAGUUUUUCGGAUUGCUGUUUAUAUGUUGCCAGCCUCUUCUUUGUCAGUUCCACAAAUUCAGAAGUAGGAGGGACAAAUAUAGUUGUAAAGAUUUCUUACUCACAUUUUUUAGCAGGUCUAAGCAGAGGUUUUGUUUUAUGCUCUUCUGCUGUACCGUACAUCCGCCUUGGCCGUACAGCAGACCAAAAAUUUAUUACCAAUAAUUAAAAAGAAAAAAGAGAAAAAGAAAGUGUAGUAUUUGCCCCUUAAAUGACUUGGUCGCACACGUCUUUGAAAAUCGGCUCGAACAACAUAGAGGAAUCUAGAACAAACAUAUUUACCAUGAAAUGAUAGACGGUGGGCAUAUAUGUCAUUUCACAAAGAAAAUGAGAAUAAAACUCAAAACAAUUAGAAUUUAAAAAAAAAAUAAAGGAAAUUAAAGCGCCUCUAUUCCAGUGAUGGUAAUUGAAAUCACAAAGAAGUUUUCCAAGACAUUAGUACUGAAUGGGAGACCUUGACCAAAAGAACUGCAAAAGUCAAACCCACAAAUUUAUUAGAAAUUUAGAACCAAUGUUUUUGAGUUUAAUUGCUAAAAAAACAUAAAAAUACGUAUGCGUAAUUUUAUGCCCAAAAAACAUAGAAAGGCAUAUGCACAAAGAUUGUUACAAGGAGAAUGAUGUAUAUCCACAACUUAACCUGAGAUUUUGCAGGCUCCAUCGAAUACAAAGCAAGAACCUCAGAGAUAAACUGUUUUGCUCCAUAACACCAGAAUUAAUAGCAUCAACGUAUAUCCCAAAAUCAUAGAUAGUUGCAUUUUGAGUCUUUGUAGAGCAAAAAUCAUUAGAAAAUGUGUAGUUUGUUAAACUGUUGUCACAGUGCAAAGGAAGGAGACGGCAUUUGGUAGAAUCUGUGCAGGCUUUCCUCCAACAUUCGGUCUCUGGCCCAUUUAGUAUGCUUAUAUGAAUUCUUCCUUUUUUUAAUCAAUGCAUACAAUCGCUUAACCUUUAGCAAAUGUUGGACGAUAAACAGGUUCAUCACAUGGAAAAAUUGCUGGACAUUCAUUAGUCGAUUAUAAACUAGAAGCACCAACACCUGAACAGUUUGUACACCAUAAAGAUAGAAUUAUCAAUUAUGAAAUAUGAUUCCAUAUGAAAAGGAAAAAAAAAAAUGGAAAUUAAUCGUACAAAUUACAACCUAUGCGUGCUUGCUAGGAAUCCAACAUAAAUUACUUUUGGGCGCCCAUAGGUAUGCGCGUGUGCCCUUGCUUGGCUAGUUGGAACAAAUAAGUAAAAAGUACGACAGAACAAACAUUUACCUGUGGGAGUGGAAAAAUGAAGGCGAGAUCAAAUAGGAAGACGGCCAACCGAGAUUUGCUAAAAUUUCGAUGUACAUUCUCCCCUAUUCGUAAAGCUUUUUUCAUCAAAAACAAUAUAUCAUAUGCUGUACGUUCAACAAUAACCAAAAUCAUAAGGGCUAUGUCAAAUUGGAAGCACUUUUUGCCAUCGUUGAUCACGGGAAGGUACAAGAAAACAGGAUCAAAUAUUAUGGAAUACACAUAAAUCAGCCAAAAAUUAGCAUCCGGGUAACGUCUCGUAGCAUCCAGGAAACGUCUCGGCAGAUUACGAAUCUGCCGAAGAGAUGUUUUUUCUCCAUUACCCAAGCUUUCGAUCACAGUUCGAAAAGCAGAUACUGUUGCUUCUCUCUCGCUCCUACUGAUGCUGUCCAUUUCAACACCAGCAACCAGUCUCGGCGUUCCUUCCUCUAAAUUCGAGUGCUGAGACCUGAAAAAAUAAAAUCAACUUCAUCGUCAUCACCAUAUACAAUAAUUGUAAUAACAUAUGGCCUGUACCUCAGCUCAGUAAGGCUCUAUACGUAUAUCGUCAAAUUAAUAAACAACUCGCUUAAGGCUUACAUAAUCAACCAAGGGGAAGGAAAAUUUAAGUAAAUGAAGCGAAGCUUAAUUUCAGUUUCCUUCAAUUAAAUACAGGUGGAUCCUUCACAAAUCAUCACUUCAGUGGCUGAGUCUUCGGAGUUCAGAGCAUGCUUAUCCUAUGCGCUAAUAAAUAUCUACGCACUGUGGUUCCUCAAGACAUUGACUUCUUACACAAUCAAUCAAACAACCAAAAAAAAAAAAAAUUCAAUAAUUAUGUAAUUUCUGUAGCACCUGUUGAUUGAGCUGGGGCCGGAGGCAACUAAUAGCUACGACUUGAGGUUAGAACUUAUCCAUAUGCAUAAUCUCAAUCUACGGUUCAUUAACCAAAAUUUUGGCCCCAAGAGGCUGCAACUCUAUCACGUCCCUUUGUGCUUUUUGCUCACUAGUAGAAUUGGAUCUUUGUGCUUUUUGCUCAAGAUAAAUAUAAGCCUUAGAAAUAUGAACUUGUUAAGGAUCCAAAUCCAAACUUGUGAACAAUGUCACGAUGCCUAUUACAAAUUUGAGCAAUGGUAGGAACAGUUGGGGCCUGUGUCCCAGGUGGUUUUAGAAACUUUUUGAUGACCACUGACCUUUCUUCCUUAGAAUUUAUAAAAAUAUCCCAUUUGAGUGUUAAAAUUAUGAAAAGUUCAGUGCUCAUCUCUAGUUCACAAAUUGAACUUACUUUCUGCUAGUUCAAACACUGAAAUUUUGUGUAAAAAAUAAAUCAAGGGUCAUAUAUUGUUAUUUAAAUUUUUUUUGAAAUUGUAUUAUACUAAUAAAGGUUUUAAAUGGAGAUAAGAAAUCUCAUUUGUUAAAGACUAAUCCUUAAAUUUAAUUUCAAACACUAUAUAUAAUCAAACACUAUAAAGGAGUUUUGCUAACUUCAUAUAUAUACACAUCAACUGUAUCAGGCUUCGGUUUCUAAUAUCUCAAACUCAAAUACUUUCGUCCAAAUUUAUUAUUGAGAUAGGUCCUUAAUUAAGAUCAUGAACAAGGCCUAAAAUACUAACGUUGCUGUACCAGAUCUGAACGCCCAAAUAUUAUUGUAGAUGGCGAUGGUGGCGUUCCUUGUGCGGACGCUUGUGCACUCCAUCUAGUUUGUCAGAAUACAUGUAUACAUCCAGUGCAAUGUUUUGCUUAAUGAUCAAUAUUCAAUAGUACCUGCUUUAAAUCAUCUGCCAUAAGAACAAAUGCUUCAACAUUUGUAAGAGCUUGAAUUGUUUUAGUUGAUAUAGGGAGGUUGGAUGAGUCGCGGUCAGCCUUUGCCCAAGCAAUGAGUUCUUCUCCAGAAAAGUCACCAUCUUCCAGAUGGUUGUUCAGGUUACCAGAAUUGCUUGAGAAUCCAGUUAUGCUCCUGGAAGUGUAGGUCCAUAACUUGCCUUGCAGCACGAAGAGCAUUUGAUCAAUUGGGUUUCCCUCCCGGAGAACGUAAGAGCGCUCUGUGAAGACGACUGGCUUCACAACAUCACACAGUGUCUCCAACGAUGAAUGACUCCAGUUUCCAAACUCUUCUACCU